rnacentral:rRNA from 1 species
UACGGGGGGGGCAAGCGUUGUUCGGAAUUACUGGGCGUAAAGGGCUCGUAGGUGGCCAAUUAAGUCAGACGUGAAAUCCCCAGGCUCAACCUGGGAACUGCGUCUGAUACUGGCGGGCUUGAAUCCGGGAGAGGGAUGCGGAAUUCCAGGUGUAGCGGUGAAAUGCGUAGAUAUCUGGAGGAACACCGGUGGCGAAGGCGGCGUUCUGGACUGUAUCUGACACUGAGGAACGAAAGCCAGGGGAGCAAACGGG